CAAUAGAAAAUUAAAACAUCCUUUCAUCUUUUAAUCACCUGUUAUUCUCUAACAUUUGCAGAAUGUAACUGGAAGCCCAUAGACAAGGGGGUCUGGGAAAUGCAGUUUGUGGAGUUCCGGCUCCCCCAUAAUUCAGCACAGAAGAGUACGAGUGAAGGCUUACAGCACAUGGAGAGAAGUCCUCCUGCAUAUUAAUCCAUGUGGGGGAUGAAGGCAAGGCGUGUGGGAAUACAGUCAUGAGGAAGGUUUAACUUUGGGAGAGUCACCUGAGAGCUCCUGAGGUUCAGUUCAUCCUCCUACUACCUGAGUUCUCCCAAUCCUUGCUUGAAGGCUAUUAAUGACUCCAUGGGAGGAAGGAGCCGAGAAACCUUGGGACCAACUGCUCUGUUCUGGACACUGGAUUACUCGACUGGAGUGUGAGGAGGUCAAAUCCAGAGAUGGAAAAAGUUGGAAGGAGAAAAAGAGAGAGAUAGAAAGUAGAAGGCACAGAGAGAAGAAGCAGAGAAACAUAAAAGAAAAUGAGAAAUAUACAAGUACGUGGACACAAAGAUGUAGGGAAAGUACAGAGACAAAGGCAUUCAGAAAAGGUAGGGGAUUCACAUGGCAGUCACAUAAAGAGCAAAGGAGACACAGAGGAAGAAAAGUCAUAUACACAGAUGCAGAGAGAGAAUGAGGACACACACACACACACACACACACACACACACACACCACAGC
rnacentral:lncRNA from 1 species